CACGGGUGAGUAACGCGUAUCCAACCUUCCCCUUAGUAGGGCAUAGCCCGUAGAAAUGCGGAUUAAUACCCUAUGUUUUCCGAUGAUGGCAUCUGAGUUGGGAAUAAAGGUUUACCGCUAAGGGAUGGGGAUGCGUCCGAUUAGGCAGCAGGCGGGGUAACGGCCCACCUGGCCUACGAUCGGUAGGGGUUCUGAGAGGAAGGUCCCCCCACAUUGGAACUGAGACACGGUCCAAACUCCUACGGGAGGCAGCAGUGAGGAAUAUUGGUCAAUGGACGUAAGUCUGAACCAGCCAAGUAGCGUGCAGGAUGACGGCCCUAUGGGUUGUAAACUGCUUUUAUGCGGGGAUAAAGUGACGUACGUGUACGUUUUUGCAGGUACCGCAUGAAUAAGGACCGGCUAAUUCCGUGCCAGCCGCAGC
rnacentral:rRNA from 1 species